AGAGUUUGAUCAUGGCUCAGGAUGAACGCUGGCGGCGUGCUUAACACAUGCAAGUCGAACGAAGCAACUAUCUUGCUGCAAGAAAGUUGACUUAGUGGCGGACGGGUGAGUAACGCGUGGGUAACCUGCCUCAUACAGGGGGAUAACAGUUGGAAACGACUGCUAAGACCGCAUAACCCGCUAGUGUCGCAUGACACGGACGGAAAAUAUUUAUAGGUAUGAGAUGGGCCCGCGUCUGAUUAGCUAGUUGGUAAGGUAACGGCUUACCAAGGCGACGAUCAGUAGCCGACUUGAGAGAGUGAUCGGCCACAUUGGGACUGAGACACGGCCCAAACUCCUACGGGAGGCAGCAGUGGGGAAUAUUGGACAAUGGGGGAAACCCUGAUCCAGCCGACGCCGCGUGAGUGAAGAAGUAUUUCGGUAUGUAAAGCUCUAUCAGCAGGGAAGAUAAUGACAGUACCUGACUAAGAAGCCCCGGCUAACUACGUGCCAGCCGCCGC
rnacentral:rRNA from 1 species